rnacentral:sRNA from 1 species
GUUGGGUCGGCGCCGGCUUCUCAGGCGCCACGUGGGAUUCGGCCCGGGUGCUCUUGUGAGUUGCUGCUCCUGCGGUUGGUGAGAUUACCUGGGUCUAGAGUGCGGAGCUGCUCCGUGGCCACGAGGACGUCACCAUGGUGGGCCCCCUCCUGCUCCCCCGAACCGCUCGCCCAAAGCACCAAAGGGAAAAAGUGCAGGACGGGAAAAAAAAGUCAUCCAUCCAUAUAGUAGAAAAGCAGCUCAAAUUACGAGAGAGGCCCACAAACAAGAAAAAAAGGAAAAAUUGAAGAAUGAAAAGGCCUUGCGUCUCAACCUUGUUGGUGAAAAACUGCAAUGGUUUCAAAAUCAUCUUGAUCCCCAAAAAAAGAGAUAUUCAAAGAAGGAUGCUUGUGAACUAAUUGAAAGGUACUUAAAUCGAUUCAGCAGUGAGCUGGAGCAGAUUGAGUUACAUAACAGUAUCAGGGACAGGCAGGGGAGGCGGCACUGUUCCCGGGAGACCGUCAUCAAGCAGACGAUGGAGCGGGAGCGACAGCAGUUUGAGGGAUAUGGCCUUG